rnacentral:rRNA from 1 species
GACGAACGCUGGCGGCGUGCUUAACACAUGCAAGUCGAACGAAGUGGCGAACGGGUGAGUAACGCGUAAUCAACCUGCCCUUCAGAGGGGGACAACAGUUGGAAACGACUGCUAAUACCGCAUACUGAAGGCGGGGAUUGCGUCGGAUUAGCUCGUUGGAGGGGUAACGGCACACAAAGGGGAUGAUCAGUAGCAGGUCUGUGAGGCUGAAUGGCCCCCUUGGGACUGAGACACGGCCCAGACUCCUAAGGGAGGAAGCAGUGGGGAAUCGUUCGCAAUGGACGAAAGUCUGACGGAGCAACUCCGCGUGGGUGAUGACGGCCUGCGGGUUGGCAAGCUCUGUUAAUCGGGACGCGUUACCGGAAUAGAAAGCCACGGCUAACUACGUGCCAGCCGCGGCGGUAAUAC